ACUAGAAUUAUUGGACGGCAUCGUUUGAUAAUUAAAACUACGGUGCUUGGGGAGUAGAUGUGCGUCUGAUUAGCUAGUUGGUGAGGUAACUGCUCACCAAGGCGACGAUCAGUAGGGGGCGGUGAGAGCGUGGCCCCCCACACGGGUACUGAGACACGGACCCGACUCCUACGGGAGGCAGCAGUAAGGAAUAUUGGUCAAUGGAGGGAACUCUGAACCAGCCAUGCCGCGUGAAGGAUGACGGCCCUCUGGGUUGUAAACUUCUUUUGGAUGGGGCGAAAAAACGGGAUUUAUCCUGGACUGACGGUACCAUCAGAAUAAGCACCGGCUAACUCCGUG
rnacentral:rRNA from 1 species